CUUCCCUACCGUCCUCUCUCGCAAUGAGCCCACGCUUAGUCGAUGCCAAUAUGUUUCUGAUCUCGUGUCUCUCCGAUCACCUGCGAGUAUGGCAUCCGCCCUAGUUACCAGAUUUCCUACAUGAUGAAAUCCAGCUUCUCGUGUUUCAUAAGAGGUGGUCCUGGAUCCUGACAUGGUGCUUGGGAGAAGAGUUUUUCCAACAUGCUCGCUUGAGCAAGCACUGCUGAUGACCCGGACUUGGUGCAAGUGGUGGCCCUAGUAUUUGGGUGCUGCCUCUGUGGUGAUCUGGACUUGUUGGCCUUACCUGCGCAUUUAAAGUCGACUGAGUAUUGUACAGUUUUCAAUUUCAUCAAUAAAAUGUUAUUCCCCU